AUUGAACGCUGGCGGCAGGCCUAACACAUGCAAGUCGAACGGUAGCACAGAGAGCUUGCUCUCGGGUGACGAGUGGCGGACGGGUGAGUAAUGUCUGGGAAACUGCCUGAUGGAGGGGGAUAACUACUGGAAACGGUAGCUAAUACCGCAUAACGUCGCAAGACCAAAGAGGGGGACCUUCGGGCCUCUUGCCAUCAGAUGUGCCCAGAUGGGAUUAGUUAGUAGGUGGGGUAACGGCUCACCUAGGCGACGAUCCCUAGCUGGUCUGAGAGGAUGACCAGCCACACUGGAACUGAGACACGGUCCAGACUCCUACGGGAGGCAGCAGUGGGGAAUAUUGCACAAUGGGCGCAAGCCUGAUGCGGCCAUGCCGCGUGUAUGAAGAAGGCCUUCGGGUUGUAAAGUACUUUCAGCGGGGAGGAAGGUGUUGUGGUUAAUAACCACAGCAAUUGACGUUACCCGCAGAAGAAGCACCGGCUAACUCCGUGCCAGCCGCCGCAGUAAGAC
rnacentral:rRNA from 1 species